rnacentral:rRNA from 1 species
AGCGAACGCUGGCGGCAGGCCUAACACAUGCAAGUCGAACGAACUCUUCGGAGUUAGUGGCGGACGGGUGAGUAACACGUGGGAACGUGCCUUUAGGUUCGGAAUAACUGAGGGAAACUUGUGCUAAUACCGAAUGUGCCCUUCGGGGGAAAGAUUUAUCGCCUUUAGAGCGGCCCGCGUCUGAUUAGCUAGUUGGUGAGGUAAAGGCUCACCAAGGCGACGAUCAGUAGCUGGUCUGAGAGGAUGAUCAGCCACAUUGGGACUGAGACACGGCCCAAACUCCUACGGGAGGGAGCAGUGGGGAAUCUUGCGCAAUGGGCGAAAGCCUGACGCAGCCAUGCCGGGUGAAUGAUGAAGGUCUUAGGAUUGUAAAAUUCUUUCACCGGGGACGAUAAUGACGGUACCCGGAGAAGAAGCCCCGGCUAACUUCGUG